AAGAUAUAUAAAUGAGAUAUAGCUAGGAAUUAAAUAAAAGGGUGGAAAAUUUGUAUAUUAAGAAAGAACUUAGAAUUGUUGGUUUAAUGGGGUCAGCAUCGAUAUUGUAUGUGGUAGGAUGUUAGGUUGGGCCGAGUUAUGUUCAAAAUGACGUGAGGCUGAGUUGGAUCAAGUCAUGUUCGAAGCGGAGUAAGGUUGGUGAGGCCAAAUCACAAUCGAGAUUUGUGAGCACUGUUCUGUAUGCUUCAAGUGAAUUACUUACGCAUUUUUAAUAGGUCGAGCUUUUAGGAUUAAUGGUUAGUGCCAACGAUCCGACAAAAACAUCUUGGGAGUAUGAGUA
rnacentral:lncRNA from 1 species